GACGAACGCUGGCGGCGUGCCUAAUACAUGCAAGUAGAACGCUGAAGAGAGGAGCUUACUCUUCUUGGAUGAGUUGCGAACGGGUGAGUAACGCGUAGGUAACCUGCCUUGUAGCGGGGGAUAACUAUUGGAAACGAUAGCUAAUACCGCAUAACAAUGGAUGACACAUGUCAUUUAUUUGAAAGGGGCAAUUGCUCCACUACAAGAUGGACCUGCGUUGUAUUAGCCAGUAGGUGAGGUAAUGGCUCACCUAGGCGACGAUACAUAGCCGACCUGAGAGGGGGAUCGGCCAAACUGGGACUGAGACACGGCCCAGACUCCUACGGGAGGCAGCAGUAGGGAAUCUUCGGCAAGGGGGGCAACCCUGACCGAGCAACGCCGCGUGAGUGAAGAAGGGUUUCGGAUCGUAAAGCUCUGUUGUAAGUCAAGAACGGGUGUGAGAGUGGAAAGUUCACACUGUGACGGUAGCUUACCAGAAAGGGACGGCUAACUACGUG
rnacentral:rRNA from 1 species